rnacentral:misc_RNA from 1 species
GAUGAAGAACGGCAGCGAAAUGCGAUAAGUAGUGUGAAUUGCAGAAUUCAGUGAAUCAUCGAAUCUUUGAACGCACAUUGCGCCCCUUGGUAUUCCAUGGGGCAUGCCUGUUCGAGCGUCAUUUGUACCUUCAAGCUCUGCUUGGUGUUGGGUGUUUGUCUCGCCUUGCGCGUAGACUCGCCUUAAAACAAUUGGCAGCCGGCGUAUUGAUUUCGGAGCGCAGUACAUCUCGCGCUUUGCACUCAUAACGACGACGUCCAAAAGUACUUUUUACACUCUUGACCUCGGAUCAGGUAGGGAUACCCGCUGAACUUAAGCAUAUCAAUAAGCGGAGGA